GGCACAUCCUGGGAACAGGAGAUUGAGGAGGAGUACCUGGAGCUGCUGGGGAGAAUGGUGAACACCACUGAAAAUCCCCUGAUGAAAUACACACAUCUGAAUUAUAUUGGCAGCGGGACUUUUGGAGAUGUUUACAGAGCACUCGACAGUGCCACAGGAGGAGAGGU